rnacentral:lncRNA from 1 species
UAAAUCCUCCGCGGGUCUCCCCGCCCUUCCUGCUGGGAUGGGAGGAGACCUUAGCGGACGGUGCUCUGCCUGUGCGGCCAGAUGAAAGGGGGACUGGGAAAAUGAAGCCAGCUCUUGCCUCUGGGCGAGGAGGUGUUGGGAGGGGAGUAGGAGGUCGGAAGGAGAGAGGCCGACCCAGUUAGCUCUGUUCACACCGUCCCUCUCUAGGAGCGGAGCCUACACCUGACUUGUUUGGAAUGUGAGCUUUUGCAGGGGACAGAGGCCCUGAGCACAAAGAAAGGAUUCAUAUGGGAGCGAAUAGAACAAGUAAAGACGGUCAGCUGUGGUCACAGUGGAGGAACUGAAGAGUUUAGACUUCACCAGCUCUUAGAGCCCUGUUUUCUUUGAAGUGGUUACAACCGAGUACUUUGGUGUGGCCUAAAGAGUUUGAAGGUAUACAGUUAAAGGACCUGGAAAUAAGAUUGGGCUGGCCAUUGGGGCCUUGCUUUUCUCAUCUGUGAGAUGAUAGUUGUGAAAAUGAGAUUAGACUGUAUGAAAUAUUCUUCGUAAGCCAUAGGAUAUGUUAUACAAAUGCUUUAGUUAUUGAAACAUCUAUAAAUUGGUAUACAAGUCAUGAUUACUGUAGUUGCAAUACGGAGUUGGUGGGGUGCUUCAGAUUUGCAAGCUGUAGGAGGUGGGAACAGGACUGAAGGGCUAUGUGCUGAUGAAUCUCCUUCAGCAUUGCUGUGGAAUGGAUAUGCUUCCCCAAAAUUCAUAUGUGUUGAAGCUCUAACCCCUAAUGUGACUAUAUCUGGAAAUAGGGUCUUUAGGAGCUCGCUCU